CAGACAUUUUGAAUACACCAGAGAGAGUUUAAUUAAUUUUGGUCUUGUGGACAACAAGUGGCUUUCAGAUCUCUAUGCAGACCGUCAUAUAUGAGUUCCAAUCUAUCUGGAUCACCACUUCAUAUUAUAGUACCUGUAAAUCAGAAAUUUUGAAUACACCAGAGAGAGUUUAAUUAAUUUUGGUCUUGUGGACAACAAGUGGCUUUCAGAUCUCUAUGCAGACCGUCAUAUAUGGGUUCCAAUCUAUCUGGAUCACCACUUCAUAUUAUAGUACCUGUAAAUCAGAAAUUUUGAAUACACCAGAGAGAGAUUAAUUAAUUUUGGUCUUGUG